rnacentral:lncRNA from 1 species
CCGGAGCAGCUCUGAACAGCAGCCAGACUGGACCGCCGCCCUUCCGUUACAGGGGUAGUUAAUCAGUGAUUGCAAGUGGAGACGUCACCUCAGGGAGGAGAUGAGGAGGCAAAGUUCGCCCUAGCAGGCAGCUCGUCUGGAAGUCUGCACGAGUGGCAAGGCAGCCGGGUGUUUACUGCUUUCGUUCUCCGAAAGGUGACUCUGCUUUGCCYGUCCACUGCAGCACUUGACUAUUCAAACAUGGAGGGGAUUCGUSCAUCUUCUCGGUGUCUUGGCUGCUUUUGCCUAACUGUUCUGGGACAACUGACUCAAAGGAGAGAUUUGCCACUGAUGUAUGUGAGACCCGAUAUCACCCUCAGUGAUGAAGUGUCCCUGAUUUCUGACAGGACGAAAUACUGUGUGAGCAGUUACCUCUCCCAGUGACGUCCUUUGCAGCCUGUCACUUACUGGCUUCCUGCGUCUAAAAAGAAGCCUGCAAGAAAAGCCCAGCAGAGCUGGCCACAUCCCUGGAGCUGUUUUGUGUACGCGGAUCAACGUGUGGGUGGAAAACAGCAGGGCUGGGGUGGUGUUYGGCUAAAACCGGCCAGCGGGUCCACCAGUCCCAGCAGGCAAAACCAGUCUAACGUGCGGUCCUUUUACCUCCAGUUCCCUUUCAUCAGACGAUCCUAAAACACUCGAGAAAUACUAAUUCAUCCAACAGGCGUUGUUAUCUGCGYUGUAGAUGCAGGGCUCAAAACUGUGAACUUUUGAAACUCCCCGCGUAGUGAGAAUGAAGCUUUUCUUCAGGGGUUUGGAAAGACCUUCAAAACCAUUUCACUUCCGAUCGAAACGUCCUACCAGGCUCAGGAGCAACUCUGCUGUGACGGAAAAUUAUAUUAUUUUGCUACAGAGYGUGCUGAUGACAGUCACACACACUGCCAGCUACCUGCCUCCACCCAUGCUCUUGUCCCAUCCAAGUUCCCAGCACUUUGGCACCUGACAGACCAGCUCUUUCUCAAAACUGCAAGUCUCUAAGGGAAAUGAGGCUAUUGUCACUUGGGCUGGGGGCUCCUAAAGUCUGCUCUAGGCAUAUGUCUCUAACUGCAAAAAGAAAGACAGAUGAAUACAUGCGAGCAAAAUUUGUUAUUCCCUGAAGCCCAAUUUAACAUCCCAUUCCUAAAUUACCRUCUGUAAUAUUUAUUUUCUUCUGUUCCUAAGUUCUAUCUUUUCACUUUCUCACAUCUCAAGAAUUCACUUACUCUUAAAAAUAUGCAUCUUUGCUUUUUUUACAAGUCUGGCUGAAUCCAAAGACAUCGGGGAAGCUGAAAAACAGCAUAAAU